rnacentral:rRNA from 1 species
UCGAGCGCAGGAAUCGACGGAACCCUUCGGGGGGAAGUCGAUGGAAUGAGCGGCGGACGGGUGAGUAACACGUAAAGAACCUGCCCUCAGGUCUGGGAUAACCACGAGAAAUCGGGGCUAAUACCGGAUGGGUCAUCGGACCGCAUGGUCCGAGGAUGAAAGGCGCUUCGGCGUCGCCUGGGGAUGGCUUUGCGGUGCAUUAGCUAGUUGGUGGGGUAAUGGCCCACCAAGGCGACGAUGCAUAGCCGACCUGAGAGGGUGAUCGGCCACACUGGGACUGAGACACGGCCCAGACUCCUACGGGAGGCAGCAGUAGGGAAUCUUCCACAAUGGACGAAAGUCUGAUGGAGCAACGCCGCGUGAACGAUGAAGGCCUUCGGGUCGUAAAGUUCUGUUGUAAGGGAAGAACAAGUGCCGCAGGCAAUGGCGGCACCUUGACGGUACCUUGCGAGAAAGCCACGGCUAACUACGUGCCAGCAGCCGCGGUAAUACGUAGGUGGCAAGCGUUGUCCGGAAUUAUUGGGCGUAAAGCGCGCGCAGGCGGCCUCUUAAGUCUGAUGUGAAAGCCCCCGGCUCAACCGGGGAGGGCCAUUGGAAACUGGGAGGCUUGAGUAUAGGAGAGAAGAGUGGAAUUCCACGUGUAGCGGUGAAAUGCGUAGAGAUGUGGAGGA